UAAAAACUCAAAAUGUGUCGCAUUCCUAUGGUUUCAGCAAAGCCGGCCCAGUAUCGUGACGUCACGGGGAGAGAGACGGAGAGAGGGAGAGCGAGAUUAGCACGGCGAGGCCGGCUUUCAUCUGAUCCAAGAAUUACGGUCUACCGGAGAGAGCCGCCCGCCAAACUCAGCAGAGAGCUCUGUUGAUCUUGGCUCCUUCAGUCAUUCCACAGAGGAUUUCCCCCCCUCUAAUGCAAUAAGCCUGGACCUCUUUCCCUGUUACAGCGAGAAUCACAAUAUCUGAUGUGAUAAUUUGCAUUUGGUGGUUGGAGUCGGAUGUGGAGCACACCACAAACAGCUGAUCGAGUCCUACACGGAGCAGAUUUUUGAUAAAAAAUUAACUUGUUAUGUUUAGGGAGUAAAAACUUGUCUGUAAGGCUUAGGCCUUAAAACUACUCAAGUAGGUUUAAAAAAAGUUUUUGUUCAAAUUCAAUCAUUACUACUUUCCCAAAGCUUUUUUGGCAGCUUGAUGUCACGAUUUCAAGCUUGGUUUCAGAAAUUUUACAUGUGGUUGUUAAACAUUGAUCUAUAAAAUAUACUUGCAAAAAACAGAGCUUAUAAAAGCAAAUUAAUGAAUUAAAAUGGUCUUGUUUUAAA